UAAAUAAGAUUUCAGACAAAGUACAGCCCCCGCCUAGUGUCUGCCAUUUCGUUCGAACUGUUUCUGUGUCUCUGUGGUAACUUGAGUGUGCUUUUGAUGGAAUGGAAGCCCUCCAAAUGAGCCAAUGGAAGCAACUGAACCAACACUAUUACAUGAACUCACCCUCCUCCAAACUCAAACAAAGCUUCUUCCCUUUCAAGCUCAGAGCCUUUUUCUGUACAUCUUCGCUAUCUCCAUUAAAUUUAGACCAAGCGCAAAAUGUUCUAACCCAACCUCCAAUUCUUACCCCAGGAAAACCAAAGAACACUCUUUCAAGUAACGGUGUUGCGGGUAGGGCCGUUAAGUUCUCCGAUGCCCAACUUAAGGAGAACUGGUUGGAUUCCCUCACUUGCCCUGUCCCCGAUAUUUCCGACCCUUUCAAUGGCAGUUGGACCCAUGCCGUUUCAGAUUGGGUUCUUGGUAUCGACCCGGACAUUCAUGGUGCAUUGGCGCUCUUGAAAAGUGUUGAGUCUGGUUCUUCUGCUCAGGUAUUUGAUUCUCCGCACUUGCAAGUACUGGUCGGGAAAAGAGUUCGACGACGUUUAGAUGCCAAGUCUAUUGUUCAGUUGCUUCGCAGUCUUGAUGCUCCUAGUGGAACUACGGCAUAUAUAGAACAAUCAAUCCCUUUUCCACAGGAUGGAAAACAGGGGUGGUGGAGUGGAGGAUUUGGGUAUGGGCUAUGGAUUGGGAUCUUAGUUGCCUCGGGAUUUUCUGUUGUGCCAGUGCCUUCUAUGCUAUGGAAAAAACAAUUUACACUGUCUGGAGGGAGGUCUACAAAGGAUGAUAGCCGGAGACUUGCAUCCACAUUAUUUCCAUCAUUGAGUCCCCUACUGAAAAGAAAAAAGGAUCAUGGAAGGGCUGAGUCUCUACUCAUUGCUGCCUAUGGCCAGGGCCUGAAGAAGCUAAACUCGUCAUGCAUGUCAGAAGAAUUGGAGCCUAACAAUGGCAAGUUGCCCUAGCAUCUCUCGAUAACUACAUCUAGAUGUUGAUGUGCCAGAUGUGUUGUGACUGCUUAUUGAAUGAGAAGUGGACUGACUAACAGAGCAGCACAAAAGACUCUUCUGUUAGAGCUUUGGUGUUUCUCACACAUUCAUGAUACCUGGUAGAGGACAUAUUAACCAUUUUUUUCACUCACUUUGCACUAUUUUCAUGGGAUUGAAGUUCCAGCAUGUACAUACCAAUUUCAGAUAAGCAUCCAAAACAAAAAGCAAUCACUAAGGACCUGAGCUUUAUCCACUCUAAGCUCUUUCCGUUUCUCUUGUAAUGGUAUUAAAGACGAUGGCAUGUGUGAGGUUAAGAAGUAUGUGGCUUUAGACUCGAGAACUAAGCAUUCAUGAUGGAGGCCUGCCACGAAAGAAGACAGAUAAGAAAACCAAUUACACACUCGCCAUGUUUUAUGUUACAAUUGUCUGUAAAAUAGAUUAUGGGAGUACCAUACUUUUCCUCAAUUUGGGUGUUUAAGCUACAAUUUCAUUCGUCACAUUUCGCAGCCCCUUGUUCACAGUUUCCUCUUUUCACAAUUAUUAGUUAUAGAAGUAAAAUCAAGAGUUGAAAGAUCAUAGGCUGAGGGAGUCAUUUCAUGAUAUAUUCCUUUCCCCUCUUCAGAUACGCCCCCCCUACUCCCCCCUUUCCUCAAACUCAUACCGUUUCUUCUUUAUAAUUUCUUGCUCCACUGGGAGUGGGGAAGGGGCUUUCGACUUGUAUCUCCUCUCCGUCUUUCCUUCCUCCAAUAAACCUUCAUCUAUUCCCCUUUUUUUUACUUCUCUCUAUUUUCCAUAAGAUCAAAACCCAUUUGCAAGUGCUGCAAAAAAACUAACACGAGGCUCUCACGCUCUCAUAUCAUACUUGAUUUUCAAGUGUCACUAGGUUUCUUGGCCUUCAAAUGCCAAAUGAAUGGACAGCAAAGGUUACGUUGGGGUGCUAGAUAAUUUUAGAUGAUCUAUGAAUAGUAGUAAAUAAUAGUAAAAAAAUAGUGAAUAGUAGUGAUGCUGAAGUAAUUGUAGAUGAUUUAUAAAUAGUAGUAAAUAAUAGUGAAAAAAUAGUGAAUAGUAGUGAUCGUUUGUAUUCAAUAAUGAAUGAGACUAAUUCCCUUACCAAACACAGCUUUCGUCUCCAAAUCCUACAUCUUCACCUAAACACACUCAAAUUCAUUUGUCCUAUGUGUCAUCACCAUCACAACUCACGAGUAUCCUUGAUGAGUUGCUGCUAUCAUGGUUGUCUAAUUCUGGUUAUCCAGCCAUAUUUCAGGUUUCUUUAAUAGUGGACUUUGUAGAAAAGGAUGUGUAGAUUUCCAUCAAAACUCCAACGAUUUGUUACAAUGUGUGCCCUUUCCCUAGAUACGACCCAAGUAGCAUUUCUCUUCUCUAAAUUACAAAAAAUCUCAAUCUACAAUAUCCUAAAUCACUAUUAAGUUUCCCUUUACACCAUUUACUCAUAUAUGAAUAUUAAUAUUGUGCCACUAGCCCAAUCUAAUACUGCAUUUGAAUGCUGAGAUGAUCUGAAUUGAUAUGUAAAUAGUAAGUAAUAUUUUGUUGGUCCCAUUCAGAUAUAUUUAAAUGUAAUUAUGUCGAGAUAUGUGUUAAAUAUAUGAAAUAGGUUGAGAUAAAUUUAACUUUUUAUGAAAAGUUGAAAAAGUAGUGAGUCCCAUCAAUAAUUAGUUUGAGAUGAGUUUAUGCGAGUUUGUAUUCCAAACAUAGCUUAAUAAUCUAAAUACUCAAAUUUUAACCAAGAAUGUUAAUUGAAUAAUAUAAACAGCUUAGAUGUAAAGUCAAGAGGGAAGCAUAUUAGUAACUGUAGUUUUUUGGGACUAAAACCUUUGACUUUAGAGAGAAAGAGUCUACCUUCUCUCUAAAACUUCCCAAAACACGAACCAACCCCCUCCCUCUUCCCUUCCUCAUCUCUCCUCCCUUUUCUCUCUUGUUUUCUUUCUUUUUUUCAAGUUUUAUUUUUCAGGUCAACGUAUGACAAAAGGCCAAUCUAUAUCUCUCCGACGUCUAGUGACUACCAUGUGCCCCACUGUAGGAAUUCUAAGGCACUGAUCUUUCAGGCGGGCGAAGAAUUUUGCUGAAAGGAUCGACGUGUGCGUGCGAUCUAAAGUUGGUGCAUGAGAUCCACGUGCCUUCACCAGGGAUGAUCUUGUUACAAUCCCUAGAAAAGUCAUCUUAGGACAAGCCUUGACACUAUACUUGGGAGGCAAGAACAACACCUUGGCUAGCCCACAAGCAUGCCUUGGCUCAUGGGGUGACACGCAUGAGGCACCCAGCAUGCAUGCAUGCCUUGGCCUGCGCGGUGGCAUAUACGGAGCGUCUAGCAUGUGGGCUAGUGUGGCUAGUGAUAGUUUGCUUGCACGCACAGCCUGGCGUCGCACGCCCAUGCGAGUCUCAGUGUGUAGGCCCGUGCGCACCAUGGUGGGCUGCGUGGCCCUUGCACGCACCCGUGCACCGCAAGGCCUUGCGCGGCACUUCCAACCCACCCAGCCACACUUCAGCAAGGCUAGUGGCAUACCCACCAGGCAUGCCAUCCAGCGCACGACUCCAGCCCGUGCCUUGCAGAGCAGGUCAGUGACAUGCCAUCCAGCGCAUGGCUCCAGCCAUACCUUGCAGACUUAGCGCCUAGGCCACUAGCCUAGGCCAUGCCGCACGCACACAUGGCUCACCACCAGCAGGCCUUGCAUGGCACCAUGCCAUGCCCACCAGCAGGCCCUUGCAUGGCACCAUGCCAUGCGCAUCCGCAAGCCAUGUUGUGCCACCUAGCCAUGGACCAGACCGAAGACCAUCAUGCACCAUCCUAGCCACCAUGGGCUCAUGCAUGCCUGGAUCAACUUGGCCCGCCACUAUGUUAUUUCUUUUUAUUUAUGUUAUUUUUAUUUAUUUAUUUCCAAUGGGCCUUUUGGGGGUUUCCAAGUUGUAACUCCUAUAUAUAGGACCCUUAGUUCAUUUCUUUCAUAUCUUUGGACAAUUGGCUUAGGAAGGCUUUGUUUUGGAGAUCAUCCAUUUCGGUGCUUAGCACUUAGGCUCUUUGGGGUGCAAUUCGUGAAUCCCUAAGGAGAGAAUCACACUUUGCAAUUCAUGAAUAAGUGUGGUUCAAUCUAUCAAUCAUAUUAUUCUUGUCAU